GGGUUUGAUCCUGGCUCAGGAUGAACGCUGGCGGCGUGCUUGAUACAUGUAAGUCGAACGCAUCGUUAGGAUCUGGAAGUUGUGGCAGAACGCGAGGGCGAGAAAUCGUUCAGACGGGAUAAAGCGACGGAAGGGUGCAUACGGUGAGUGGCGGACGGGUGAGUAACACGUAGGCAAUCUGCCUCAAAGUGGGGGAUAACUGUUCGAAAGGGCAGCUAAUACCGCAUGUGGUCCAGCCUAAGGUUGGAAGAAAGGCCUAGGCCGCUUUGAGAUGAGCCUGCGGCCGAUUAGCUAGUUGGUGGGGUAACGGCCUACCAAGGCAAAGAUCGGUAGCUGGUCUGAGAGGAUGAUCAGCCACACUGGAACUGAGAACGGUCCAGACUCCUACGGGAGGCAGCAGUAAGGAAUAUUGCACAAUGGGGGAAACCCUGAUGCAGCAACGCCGCGUGGGUGAAGAAGGCUUUCGAGUUGUAAAACCCUUUACUGUGGGAUGAGGAAGGACAGUACCACAGCAACAAGUCUCGGCUAACUACGUGCCAGCAGCCGCGGUGAGACGUAGGAGGCAAGCGUUAUCCGGAAUUACUGGGCGUAAAGGGCAAGUAGGCGGUUGUUCAAGUUGGGCGUGACAGAUCUCGGCUUAACUGAGAAAGGUCGUCCAAUACUGAGCGACUAGAGGGCAGGAGAGGAAAGUGGAACUCCCGAUGUAGCGGUGGAAUGCUCAGAUAUCGGGAAGAACACCAGUGGCGAAGGCGGCUUUCUGGCCUGCACCUGACGCUGAGAGGCGAAAGCUAGGGUAGCAAACGGGCUUAGAUACCCCGGUAGUCCUAGCUGUAAACGUUGGAU
rnacentral:rRNA from 1 species